rnacentral:rRNA from 1 species
GUUGUAUAGUCAAGUAAUUAAGUGCAUGUGGUGGAUGCCUUGGCAGUCAGAGGCGAUGAAAGACGUGAUAGCCUGCGAAAAGCUCCGGGGAGGCGGCAAAUAUCCUUUGAUCCGGAGAUGUCUGAAUGGGGGAACCCACCUACUUUAAGGUAGGUAUUGCAACAUGAAUACAUAGUGUUGCAAGGCGAACGAGGGGAAGUGAAACAUCUCAGUACCCUUAGGAAAAGAAAUCAAUUGAGAUUCCCUCAGUAGCGGCGAGCGAACGGGGAUCAGCCCAUUAAGUUAUGUGUGUUUUAGUGGAACGCUCUGGGAAGUGCGAACGUAGAGGGUGAUAUUCCCGUACACGAAAGGGCACACAUAAUGAUGACGAGUAGGGCGAGGCACGUGAAACCUUGUCUGAAUAUGGGGGGACCAUCCUCCAAGGCUAAAUACUCCUGACUGACCGAUAGUGAACCAGUACCGUGAGGGAAAGGCGAAAAGAACCCCUGUGAGGGGAGUGAAAUAGAUCCUGAAACCGCAUGCAUACAAGCAGUGGGAGCACCUUCGUGGUGUGACUGCGUACCUUUUGUAUAAUGGGUCAGCGACUUAUAUUCAGUAGCAAGGUUAACCGUAUAGGGGAGCCGUAGAGAAAUCGAGUCUUAAUAGGGCGUUUAGUUGCUGGGUAUAGACCCGAAACCAGGCGAUCUAUCCAUGAGCAGGUUGAAGGUUGGGUAACACUAACUGGAGGACCGAACCCACUGUCGUUGAAAAGCCAGGGGAUGACUUGUGGAUAGGGGUGAAAGGCUAAUCAAGCCUGGUGAUAGCUGGUUCUCCCCGAAAGCUAUUUAGGUAGCGCCUCGGACGAAUACCAUAGGGGGUAGAGCACUGUUUCGGCUAGGGGGUCAUCCCGACUUACCAAACCGAUGCAAACUCCGAAUACCUAUGAGUACUAUCCGGGAGACAGACUGCGGGUGCUAACGUCCGUAGUCAAGAGGAAAACAAUCCAGACCGCCAGCUAAGGCCCCAAAAUCAUAGUUAAGUGGGAAACGAUGUGGGAAGGCAUAGACAGCUAGGAGGUUGGCUUAGAAGCAGCCACCCUUUAAAGAAAGCGUAAUAGCUCACUAGUCGAGUCGGCCUGCGCGGAAGAUGUAACGGGGCUAAAACUAUGUGCCGAAGCUGCGGAUNNNNNNNNNNNNNNNNNNNNNNUGCUGGAGGUAUCAGAAGUGCGAAUGCUGACGUGAGUAACGACAAAACGGGUGAAAAACCCGUUCGCCGAAAGACCAAGGGUUCCAGUCCAACGUUAAUCGGGGCUGGGUGAGUCGACCCCUAAGGCGAGGCCGAAAGGCGUAGUCGAUGGGAAAAUGGUUAAUAUUCCAUUACUUCUGUGUAAUGCGAUGAGAGGACGGAGAAGGCUAAAUCAGCCUGGCGUUGGUUGUCCAGGUGAAAGGAUGUAGGCAUGUAUCUUAGGCAAAUCCGGGGUACUCUAUGCUGAGAUCUGAUAGCAAGCUGUACUUGUACAGCGAAGUGGUUGAUGCCAUGCUUCCAGGAAAAGUCUCUAAGCUUCAGUUACACAGGAAUCGUACCCGAAACCGACACAGGUGGUCAGGUCGAGUAGACCAAGGCGCUUGAGAGAACUCUGCUGAAGGAACUAGGCAAAAUGGUACCGUAACUUCGGGAGAAGGUACGCUGUUGUUGGUGAUGGAACUCGCUUCCUGAGCUGACGACAGCCGCAGAAACCAGGCCGCUGCAACUGUUUAUUAAAAACAUAGCACUCUGCAAACACGAAAGUGGACGUAUAGGGUGUGAUGCCUGCCCGGUGCUGGAAGGUUAAUUGAUGGGGUUAGCGUAAGCGAAGCUCUUGAUCGAAGCCCCAGUAAACGGCGGCCGUAACUAUAACGGUCCUAAGGUAGCGAAAUUCCUUGUCGGGUAAGUUCCGACCUGCACGAAUGGCAUAAUGAUGGCGGCGCUGUCUCCAGCAGAGGCUCAGUGAAAUCGAAAUCGCUGUGAAGAUGCAGUGUACCCGCGGCUAGACGGAAAGACCCCGUGAACCUUUACUGCAGCUUGACACUGAACUUUGACCUUACUUGUGUAGGAUAGGUGGGAGGCUUUGAAGCUGGAACGCUAGUUCCAGUGGAGCCGUCCUUGAAAUACCACCCUGGUAAUGUUGAGGUUCUAACUCUGUCCCGUGAUCCGGGACGAGGACCGUGUCUGGUGGGUAGUUUGACUGGGGCGGUCUCCUCCUAAAGAGUAACGGAGGAGUACGAAGGUGCGCUCAGCGUGGUCGGAAAUCACGCGUAGAGUAUAAAGGCAAAAGCGCGCUUAACUGCGAGACCCACAAGUCGAGCAGGUACGAAAGUAGGUCUUAGUGAUCCGGUGGUUCUGUAUGGAAGGGCCAUCGCUCAACGGAUAAAAGGUACUCUGGGGAUAACAGGCUGAUACCGCCCAAGAGUUCAUAUCGACGGCGGUGUUUGGCACCUCGAUGUCGGCUCAUCUCAUCCUGGGGCUGAAGCAGGUCCCAAGGGUAUGGCUGUUCGCCAUUUAAAGAGGUACGCGAGCUGGGUUUAGAACGUCGUGAGACAGUUCGGUCCCUAUCUACCGUGGGCGCUGGAAAUUUGAGAGGAUCUGCUCCUAGUACGAGAGGACCAGAGUGGACGAACCUCUGGUGUACCGGUUGUGACGCCAGUCGCAUCGCCGGGUAGCUAUGUUCGGAAGGGAUAACCGCUGAAAGCAUCUAAGCGGGAAGCCUACCUCAAGAUAAGAUUUCCCUAGGACUUUAUGUCCUCUAAAGAGCCGUUCGAGACUAGGACGUUGAUAGGUUGGAUGUGGAAGCAUAGUGAUAUGUGAAGCUGACCAAUACUAAUUGCUCGUGAGGCUUGACUAUACAACACCCAAGCAGUUG